GGGGAUUUAGCUCAGUGGUAGAGCGCUUGCCUAGCAAGCACAAGGCCCUGGGUUCGGUCCCCGGCUCCG
rfam:Rattus norvegicus chromosome 2, whole genome shotgun sequence.